UUGUUUUGCCAGCACAUGCACUAAAAUUGGAGCAGAGAAGAUCAGCAUGGAACCUGAGCAAGGAUCCAAUGCUAAUUCAUGCUCCUUAUUUUC
rnacentral:snRNA from 1 species